AGAGUUUGAUCCUGGCUCAGGAUGAACGCGGGCGGCGUGCUUAAUCCAUCCAAGUCGAAGGAAGAUAAUACCAAUAUUUCCUUAGUGUCGAACGGGUGAGUAACGCGUUGGUGCCCUGCCCCGAAGAGAGGGAUACCAGUUGGAAAGGACUGUUAAUCCCUCAUGUGGUCAAAGAGGUUAGAGUUUUUUGUCUAAAGGGAGUAAUUCGCUUCGGGAGGGGCCUGCGUCCCAUCAGCUAGUUGGUAAGGUAAUGGCCUACCAAGGCGAUGACGGGUAGGGGACCUGGGAGGGUGGCCCCCCACAAUGGAACUGAAACACGGUCCAUACACCUACGGGUGGCAGCAGUAGGGAAUAUUGGUUAAUGUGGGAAACCGCGAACCAGCAACGCCGCGUGUGCGAUGAAGGCCUUCGGGUUGUAAAGCACUUUUAGAGAGAAUGAGGAAGGACAGUACUCUCUGAAUAAGCCUCGGCUAACUACGUGCCAGCAGCCGCGGUAA
rnacentral:rRNA from 1 species